CCUACGGGUGGCAGCAGUGAGGAAUAUUGGUCAAUGGACGAGAGUCUGAACCAGCCAAGUAGCGUGAAGGAUGACUGCCCUAUGGGUUGUAAACUUCUUUUAUAUGGGAAUAAAAUGUUCCACGUGUGGGAUUUUGUAUGUACCAUAUGAAUAAGGAUCGGCUAACUCCGUGCCAGCAGCCGCGGUAAGACGGAGGAUCCGAGCGUUAUCCGGAUUUAUUGGGUUUAACGGGAGCGUAGGUGGAUUGUUAAGUCAGUUGUGAAAGUUUGCGGCACAACCGUAAAAUUGCAGUUGAAACUGGCAGUCUUGAGUACAGUAGAGGUGGGCGGAAUUCGUGGUGUAGCGGUGAAAUGCUUAGAUAUCACGAAGAACUCCGAUUGCGAAGGCAGUUCACUGGACUGCAACUGACACUGAGGCUCGAAAGUGUGGGUAUCAAACAGGAUUAGAUACCCGAGUAGUC
rnacentral:rRNA from 1 species